CACGUAGGGUGCGAGCGUUGUCCGGAAUUACUGGGCGUAAAGGGCUCGUAGGCGGCCAACUAAGUCAGACGUGAAAUCCCUCGGCUUAACCGGGGAACUGCAUCUGAUACUGGAUGGCUUGAGUUCGGGAGAGGGAUGCGGAAUUCCAGGUGUAGCGGUGAAAUGCGUAGAUAUCUGGAGGAACACCGGUGACGAGGGCGGCAUCCUGGACCGACACUGACGCUGAGGAGCGAAAGCCAGGGGAGCAAACGGG
rnacentral:rRNA from 1 species